rnacentral:rRNA from 1 species
AUGGAAGAAGUCAUCGAAGAAGCACCAUUUGCAGUUGUGCCAAACACAUGCCUUCUUGGUAUAGAAGAACCUGAAUCUGGGUUAGAGGCAAGAAAGGAAGAGGCAUGGAGAGAAGCCAUGGACUCAAAACUCAGGUUAAUCGAGAGCAAUGAAACCUGGGAACUCACUGACUUGCCAAAGGGACAGAAAGCAAUUGGUUUGAAAUGGGUUUACAAACUAAAGAAAGAUCCCGAUGGCAAGGUCAUGAAACAUAAAGCAAGACUGGUUGCGAAGGGCUAUGUUCAGCGUCACGGUGUAGACUACGAGGAGGUCUUCGCCCCUGUUGCACGACUCGAGUCAAUCCGGCUUCUCAUCGCAGUUGCAGCACAAUAG